rnacentral:lncRNA from 1 species
GCCAAUUGAUGUUUCUGUUGCUGCUGCUGUUGGAGAUGAUAGUAGGGUACCUUCAUUGGGUAUCCGCGUCCUAUUGUUGCAUUCUCCGCUGAUUGUUGCGAUUUAUUCUCCAUUAUGUUUUUAAAUGAAGGGCAAUAAUUUCUAUGCUAACAAAUAAACACGGAGAGACAAAUGAAAGAAGAGUAAUUUACUUGUGUUGUGCGAGUAAUUUACUUGUGUUGUGCUCUCUUACUUGUGUGCACCCACUAUUUUUACCAAUUAAAGAUGUACUUUAACCAGAUAAACAAGGGGAGUGAGGACCACCACAUUAGUAACAAACGAAACCUUAUUUGUUUGAUCGAGUUGAUAGCUGGUGGAAUCAUCUGAGGAAAAAAAGCCUCACCGUCAUCCAAUUUUUUGUGUUGCUCGAAAAGAACAACAUCUCACAACCAAAAAAAAUUAUGAUUUAAACUCGAAAGAGGUUCAAUUAAACUGUGAUAAAGAGACAAUUCAAAUUCUAUAAAGUUAAAAUACAAAUAAUUGAAUAGGUUGUAAAGAAAACAUAACAACUAUUAAACAAAGCGUUGAACCGAAGGAAAUUAGCACAACAAUCAUGUUUCUAUUAGCAUUUCAAUAAAAAUUUAAUGAAUCAGACAUGAAUAUGGAUUCAAUUCAACUGUAAUCAACACAUACAAGUAACCAAACAAUCUCCAAAGACUAAUACAUAGCUUACAAAGUUAAACUUUGAAUUAUAACGCAUUAGCAUUUAGAAAGUUUGAAAGCAAGAGGUUUUAAUAAAACCUUCGAAAAAAAAUGAUUGUCAAAGUGAAAUCGAAUCAAAGUAAAAAUGAGUGAGUUGGGUUGAAUAUAUGUGUGUGUGUUGGGUUGUGUAGAAUUAUAUUGGAGAAAUAAUUAAUUUUAAUAAGAUAAAAAUAUUCAGUAACAGACGAGACUUCAUUUCUGUGAUCGAGGUGGUAGCUGGUGGAAUUAUCUGAGGAAAAAAUGCCUCACCCUCAUUCAAUUUUUUGUGUUGCUCGAAAAGAACAACUUGUCAACAACCAAAAAUAUUAUGAAUUGAACUCAUAAAGAAGUUCACGUAUAUGUUAUUUAAGACCAGUUUUUUGACGCGUGCUUUACACGUGCAUGUCACAUCAUGUAAUAUAUACUUUUAUAAAUAAUUUUACCUCAUUUGUUUUAACUGCUGAAGGAGAUGGUAAUAGGGUACCCACAUUGGUACACUCGCCGCUGCAGCCGUUGUAUUCUCUAUCAAUUGAUAUUCUCUUAUUUGCUACUGUUGGAAAUGGUAGUACAGUACCUGCAUUGGGUAUCUCGCCGCCACCGUCUUUGCUGCAUUCAAAACAUUCUCUACCGAUCAUUUCGAUUUAUUAUCCAUUGUACUUGGGGGAUAAUUUCUAUGUUUGCAACUACAGAGUGAGAAAAUGGAAGAAGAGUAGCCUAGUUGUGUUGUACGCUCUUACUAUUUGUACAAACUAAAUUUGUACUUAUUAUCAUAUAAACAGAGGGAGUAAGGCCACCACAUCAGUAACGGACGAAACCUCAUUUCUAGUCCGUAACCUCAUUUCUCUAUAAGUGGUAGCCGGUGAUUAACUCUUUUUUUGUUGAUAAAUUACUUUUUUUCUUUUCCUUUAUUGGGUUAAUUUUUAUUUACUAUUUUCUUUAUUAUUAUUAUUACUAUUUUUCUUUUCUUCAAUUAUUUUUUUCUCGUGUUACAUACUACAUAACUUGAAUUUUUUUUUUUUGUUUUGUUUUUAUUUCCUCCUAAUUUUUAUUUGUAAGUGAAUUAAAAAAAUUCUGUCACUCAACCAUGUUAGUAAUUUAUAUUUUUUAAUUAUAUUCUCUUUUCUGUUAGAGUAAGAAAAAUUAGAUAUUGAAAAUUUGAAAUUGAAUCUCAUAAAUAAUAAAUUUGUCUUUUGUGAGUCUAUAUGAUAUUGUUUAUUAUGAUUUAAUAUUAGCAUUAAAGAGAUUUCUAAUACUUAGAAAUUAAAGAAUCAUCAUAUUCUUUUUAUUAUUAAUGGCAUCUCUUAUAUUACAAAAUUUAAAGCUAGUAGAGUCAAGAAAUGAAUCAAAUUUAAAUGGAUUGGAUUCUAAAUAAAUCUUAAUAUUGAUUUUAAUUUUUUUGAUAUCCUUUUCCUUAAAUUUUAGAGUUGCUCCAUCAUUAAAUAGACACCAAAAUAAAAACUAAAAUAUCUUUUAAUUGAUCAUAAACUAAAAAUAUGUAAAAUAUAUUAAAAUAUUCUUUACUUUUUGUAAUUUUAAACAUGUCAUGUGAUAAGUUAAAAUUAAAAUUUUUCAGAAAAUGAAAAUACAUUUUUUCAAAUGGACUUGUAAAAAAGUGACACAAAUAAAAUAAAACAAAAAAUGUACUAUAUAAAUUUUAUUUGGUUACAAAUAUCUACAAAUAAGAACUUAGGAGGAAAAAAGCCCAUCAAUUUGAUCAGUUUCAUGAUCACGAAAAAGAUUGAAAAGAAAAAGUAAAAAAAAAGUAUUCACAUAUAUGUUAUUUAAGACUAUUUUUUUGACACGUGCAAAGCACGUGUAUGCCAAAUCAUUUAAUAUAUAAUUUUAUAAUUAACUUUAGUUCAUUUAUUGUUGGCACUGAAGAAGAUGGUAAUAGGGUACCCACAUUGGUACCCCUAUCCCUGCCACAACUGCAUUCUCCACCAAUUGAUGUUCCCAAUGGUUGUUGGAAAUGGUAGUAAGGCACCUACAUUGGGUACCCACCUCCCCCUAUUGCAUUCUUAGUCGAUUAUUGUGAUUUAUUCUCCAUUAUACUUUAGACGAAGGACGAUAAUUUCUAUGUUAACAAACACAAACAGAGAGAAAUGGUCGAAGAGUAAUCUACUUGUGUUGUGCUUUUUUACUUGUGCAAUUUUUGUGCGCACUCACUAUUUUUAUUAACUAAAUUUAUUCUUAUUACUGGAUAAACGCGGGAGGGGGGGGGAGGUGAGGUCCACCACAUUAGGAAUUAGUAACAGACAAAACUUCAUUUCUAUUUCUUUGAUCGAGGCGAUAGCUGGUGGAAUCAUCUGAGAAAAAAGCGCCUCACCCUCAUUCAAUUUUUUGUAUUGCUCGUAAAGAACAACACUUCUCAACAGCCAAAAAAAAAUCAUGAAUUGAACUCAAAAGAGGUUCAAUUCAAUUGUGAUAAGAGAUGAUCCAAAUUCUAUAAAGUUAAAUACAGAUAAUCGAAUAAACUGCAAAGGCUAAAUAACAACUAAUAAAUUAAAUGUUGAACAGAAAGGAAUUAGCACAUCAAUCAUGUUUUUGUUAGCAUUUUAAUAAAAAUUAAUGAAUUGAACAAUAAUAUAGGUUCAAUUCAACUGUAAUCGACAAAUGAAAGUAACCAAACAAUCUCUAAUGACUAAAACAUAGCUAAAAAGUUAAAACCUUGAAUUAUAACACAUUCAGAAAGUUUGGAUGGAGGAGGCUUGAUGAAAACCUUUGAAAAAAAAUGAUUGUGAAAGUAAAACCCUGUUAGAGUAAAAAUGGAUGAGUUGAGUUGAAUAUAUAUAUAUAUAUAUAUAUAUAUAUAUAUAUAUAUAUUGUGUUGUGUAGAACUAUAUUGGAGAAAAAAUUUAUUUUAAUUAGAAAAAAUAUAUUCACGUAUAUGUUAUUUAAAACUAGUUUUUUGGCACGAGCUACGCACGUGUAUGACAAAUCAUGUAAUAUAUAAUUUUAUAAAUAAUUUUAGUUCAUUUGUUGUUGCCGCUGAAGAUGGUAAUAGGGUACUCACAUUCAUACCAUGACACAACUACAUUCUCCG